rnacentral:rRNA from 1 species
AACGAACGCUGGCGGCAUGCCUAACACAUGCAAGUCGAACGAUACCUUCGGUUCGAGUGGCGCACGGUUGCGUAACGCGUGGGAAUCUGCCCUUAGGUUCGGAAUAACGCCCCGAAAGGGGUCCUAAUCCCGGCUAAUAUCUCCGGACCAAAGCGUUAUCGACGUUGGAUGGGCCCGCGUUUGAUUAGCUAGUUGGGAGGGUAACAGCCUACCAAGGCGAGGGUCCAUAGCUGGUCUGAGAGGAUGAUCAGCGACACUUGUAGGGAGACACGGCCCAGACUCUUACGCGAGGCAGGAGUGGCGAAUAUAGGAAAGUGGGGGGAAGGCUGAUGGAGCAAGGCUGGGUGAGUGAUGAAGGACGUAGGGAUGUAAAGCUCUUUUACACGUGAUGAUAAUGACGGUACCGGGAGAAUAAGCUCCGGCUAACUACGUG